AGAUAAUAGCGAACAAAAUAGGAUACAUAUUUAAGUCAUUGUAAACCAGUCUUGGUUUGUAUUUUAUACUUCCUGUUUACAUACCCCUGUGUCAGACUGAUUAUACCCUGUCUAAUUACAGUCAGUACAUAUUUGUGUAAAGAAAACUCCGUUUCAAGAUUACUUGCUAUCAGACAACACAAUGGCAGAUGAGGAAAAUAAGACCAUCCGUACAGCUGCAGCGGUAGGAACAUCUCCACUCUGGGUACCCGUCGCGGCGGCUGGAGGAGUUGUUUACGGAGCGGGAAAAGGUGUCAACGAGGCCAAGGAAUUCGGUAAACGACACGGCCCAGUGACUGGAAUAGCAGCAUCUCCCUUCAUAGUGGCAGGAAAUAUCCUUAAAGGUCCAUUCAAAGGAAUAAAGAAAGUCGGCGAGGCCAUGGUUGCAAAAGAUAAAUAAUUUCAGCUGAACUAACUUUUACAUUAAACAUCAGAGUACAUUAAACAUUUGAAUGCUGUACACAGGUCGCAAUAUAAUAUGCAGAGUGUUAAAAGAAUAUGUGGUUCUGAUGCGUGUUUAAUUACAUGUGGUUUUGUGCUUUGUAUUAAUGUUACAUAAUGUAAAGUUUGUUAAGAUCUGUGACAAGCUCAUCUAUAAGUUCUAAUUUGUGUUUAAUUGAACUGAUCUUCUUAUACCUUACUGAGAAAUGAACGGAGACUUUCCUGAUACUGACAGACCAAUACCAACAUUUCAUAUAGAACAUAGCAUAGAACUAAUUGUUUAGAAUUAUCAUUAUCUUGUCAGUAUAAGUACACGUCAAAAUAAACAAUUUUCAAAAUAACUAAAAAUAUUUUUCAACAUCUAAAAUAAAGGAAUUUGUGAUAUUGACUUAUGUUGAUAAUGUUCGUCUACAUGAAGUAAAACAACUGCCGGCAUGAAAGUAAACAUUUGCUGGAGCUAUCUUUAAAAAAAAGGACACAAGUCCUACAAGAAAAAGCCACAUUAACCUUUAGCCUGCUAAACUUCUAACAUAGACUGGUCCAUCAUUAAAUUUGGGCAGUACCCUACAUUAUUUGAAGGGGUGUUUACUGAAAAUUUACUGACUGAAUAGCGAUCUUGGUCUGCACUGGUCGCAAAGGCAGAAUCACUAGCUGCCAGUAGGCUUAAGGUUAAAAGAACGCAUACAGCCAUCAGUUUUGAAACUAUUUUAGUUAAUUUCACUAUACAAUUCUGAGUAGGUGUCAAAAUUUCAUGAUAAACUGUCAGAACAGGUAGAAGUCUCCGUGAUCGACCAUUUUACAUUUAUUUCCCUAACAGAUUGUUGUUUAUCUCUACGACAUCGUUAAAUUAAAUAGCAACAUUUUAAGAACAUCUCCGACAAUGUUUUUUGUACAGAAGAUAUUAUUGUACAGAAUUAUAUUUUGGAGUUUUACUUCUACACACUAUAACUGGAACAUUGCAAUGGUGUAUACAGUAAUCACUGACGCUCCCAAGAAAAGUUCUUCUAACUACACCCAUUCCUCUUGAUCCAAGAAUCAGCAUUGACGCUCCUACUUCUUUCGUCACCGCAAUGAUUGUCUCCCCUGGUUUACCGCACUGUUGUUUCACAUGACCUGAAAGCUAUGACCUAAAUUUUGUAGAUUUGUUUAACUUCUAAAUAUGCGUAGUCUUGUUUGGAAUUUGUUUAUUCGUGAUCUUAAUAUACGAUUGCAUGUGUAUUGCAGCGAGGAAGCUAAAUACUACUGGUUAAAACAGGAAAAAACAACAUCAUUUUAAUUCCAAUUACGUUUUCUUACGAAAGAGUAUAUAUAUUUAUUUGUAUUUAUAUAUAUUUACUUAUAUUGGAGACAAAAUGUAUUGGUUUUCUCAAAAGAUGGUUUAAUUGAAAUAUUAGUGUACAUAUAUCUUGUACUUCAAAAAUUACUUAUACAUGUACAUGUAAAAUAUAUAGUUGUUUAGCAACAAGAACACACUAUUUCAUAACUGAUUACAACAACACUAUUGAGUAUGUUAUUUUUUUCAUAUUAUAGGUCACAUAUGACCUCAACAUUGAGAUAUCCCUCUUGUUUAUUUCCGGUCAUAAAUAAUUCUCGUGGAAUAUUGAAUGGUUAAUUGGCAAUGAGUGGCAUUUCUAAGUCUCAGUACAGACAUCGUUCUGACUUUCGAUCAAUUUCAUUCCAUUAGCUGAAAUGUGAUCCAAAUACCAUGACGUAUAAUGUUUUCUUCAAAUGACUCGAAGAUUUGUGUUUUGCUGUACUCAUGAAAUUUACAAAUGUGUGAAUUAUAUCAAUAUCUCAUGGAAAUGAGGAGCAGUUAUUGUAAAGCAGAAAAAGAUAAUGACAUGCGAGGCGGCAGACAUGAUUUCAAAUUCUUUUAAAUGGUGAACAAUAUUCAUUUCAUGCCGUAUUUUCAGAUGAAUGUAUCUUCCCUGAAUAUUUAAAGAACUCUAUUUUAAAUGUAAAUUGAUACCCCUGAGACAGGAUUCCACUCUGCCUAAUUUAAAGGGUUAUGCCUUUGAUUAAAAUGUGACAGUCACAUUUUUGUUAUGAACAUAAAAUAUGUUAUUUUCUUGUUAAAUCCAAUGUUUGGUAAUUAUUUUCUGAUGUAUUUGUCAUAGGUUUGGAUAUAUAAUUUAACAUAAAAAGUACUAUAAAUUG